rnacentral:rRNA from 1 species
AUUGAACGCUGGCGGCAGGCCUAACACAUGCAAGUCGGACGGUAACAGGAAGCAGCUUGCUGCUUUGCUGACGAGUGGCGGACGGGUGAGUAAUGUCUGGGAAACUGCCCGAUGGAGGGGGAUAACUACUGGAAACGGUAGCUAAUACCGCAUAACGUCGCAAGACCAAAGAGGGGGACCUUAGGGCCUCUUGCCAUCGGAUGUGCCCAGAUGGGAUUAGCUAGUAGGUGGGGUAACGGCUCACCUAGGCGACGAUCCCUAGCUGGUCUGAGAGGAUGACCAGCCACACUGGAACUGAGACACGGUCCAGACUCCUACGGGAGGCAGCAGUGGGGAAUAUUGCACAAUGGGCGCAAGCCUGAUGCAGCCAUGCCGCGUGUAUGAAGAAGGCCUUCGGGUUGUAAAGUACUUUCAGCGGGGAGGAAGGGAGUAAAGUUAAUACCUUUGCUCAUUGACGUUACCCGCAGAAGAAGCACCGGCUAACUCCGUG